AGCAGCCGCGGUAAUUCCAGCUCCAAUAGCGUAUAUUAAAGUUGCUGCAGUUAAAAAGCCCGUAGUCGAACUUCAGGCCUGGCCGGGCGGUCUGCCUCACGGUACGUACUGUCCGGCUGGGUCUUACCUCUUGGUGAGCCGGCAUGCCCUUCACUGGGUGUGUCGGGGAACCAGGACUUUUACCUUGAGAAAAUUAGAGUGUUCAAAGCAGGCCUAUGCCCGAAUACAUUAGCAUGGAAUAAUAGAAUAGGACGGUGGUCCUGUUUUGUUGGUUUCUGAAUCACCGUAAUGAUUAAUAGGGAUAGUUGGGGGCAUUAGUAUUCAAUUGUCAGAGGUGAAAUUCUUGGAUUUAUUGAAGACUAACUACUGCGAAAGCAUUUGCCAAGGAUGUUUUCAUUAAUCAAGAACGAAAGUUAGGGGAUCGAAGACGAUCAGAUACCGUCGUAGUCUUAACCAUAAACUAUGCCGACUAGGGAUCGGACGAUGUUAACUUUUCUUGACUCG
rnacentral:rRNA from 1 species